ensembl:lncRNA
AUCUAUAAUGUUAAAUAUUGCACUCUAUACUGAAUACAAUGUAAUAGCAAAAAAUGAUUUUAUUGAUCAUCUGCUACAGUGUUUCAAUCACCUUUGCUAAUUUUUUAUAAUAUAAAACAUUAAGUAAAUGUAUUAAGUGAGAUCAAGAUGAUUGCAUAAGUCCAUGGUUAAAAUUAUUUCUCUAAUUUCUUUCUGAGCAGUAAUCAGGAUACUCUCCUUUGAUGAAUCUUAAUGCCUUAACUAUGGAACACCGCCCCAGAUCAUCAUGGGUGUUUAUCUAAAAAUCAGUGCAACUGGGAAGUAUUAAGCCUCGAGGGCUAGAACUAUCAGAUUCUUCACAUCAGAAAUAUUUAGAAUAAAGGUAAACCCAGCAUAUGUUAGAGCUAGUUUAGAAGAUUCCAGCGUAUGUGUAAUAAAGAAAUAGCAGCCAGUGAGACACAAACACAUCAGUCAGAUGUCCCUAUGGGACACCACAUGGUGUAGGCCUCCAAAGUGAGGGGGUGAAGUGGUCUCCCCAGCCUUUGCAUUUGGUAUCAAUCUGCAUACACAAAUCAAUGUUAUAAGAUUUAUUCCACAAACAUUUAUUACAAGCCUACUACGUGUCAAUGCUAUGCUAAUUGUUAUUUCUUUUUUUAAUGAAGAUUCUUUUGCUUUCUGGGGCACAUUCCUUUAGUGCAGGGUGAUUAAAGUUGCAGGUUAAAUUAAUAUUAGUAAUGAGCUAAUCUUACCCUUGGGAGCUUGUCCAGCUGGGCCCAAGGUAAUCACAAGGCCCUUAAAAGUGAAAAAGGGAAUCCAAAGAGAAAACCAGAGAGAAGGCAGCAUGAGAAGAAUUAAGCUCAAUGUCACUGGCUUUGCAGAUGUAUGAACGGGGCACAGAGAAGGAAUAAGUGCAGCUUCUAGAAGCUGACAGGGGCAAGAGGACUGAUUGUCCCUUGGAGCCUGCAGAAAGAACAUAGCCAUUCCAACAUCUUAAUUUUAGCCCAUCGAGACCCAUUUUGGACUUCUGACCUCCAAAAGUAUCCUCCAAAAGGAACUCAAUUGUCAUAAGUUCCCUCGGGCGUUCCAUCCACUGGGGAGAAGGAUUAUCGUCUCUGGAGAGGAGAUCGCAAGUGGACAGUGACGGGGUUGAGGGUGGGCCGCCCCAAGAUGUACCACUCUGGGAUGCAGGCUGUUUCGAGCUGAAGACCACAAAGGUUCAAAAGACUCAGGAAGAGCAUCCGACCUUCACCCCUCAAACUGCCUAAAGGACUUGAACAGACAAGGCCUGUUCCAGGAAGGGGCUCAUAUCGGGUGAUAGCUAUAGCAUGAUGUAAAAUAGGUGUGAUAAAAGGACACCAGCAAACCCAUUUUUUGGGCCUAGCAAAACCUGUUUAACAAACAUUUGCAUUCCAUCUCUAGGUAGAUUGUUUUCCUCCCGUUUGAAGUCCCAGAUCACUGUGUCCUCCUGGUCUGUAGCUGAGGAUACUUAAACGGGUGGACUCAGCCAGAUGGCAGAGUUACUCAGUUUCCUCUGGUUUUCUCCCAUGUAUACAUGCCAUUAAUUUGUUUGAUUUUCUCUUGCUAACCUGCCUCUUUGAUUAUUUAACCAGCCAUAAGAACCUUAAGGAAAAGUGGUGGGGGCAAUUCUCCUACUUCCCCGACAACAGCACACCCAGACAAACUGUGUCACAAACCGUCACACCCCCAUCUAUUCUUCUAAGAGCCCAUUCAUCUUUCCUAAAAACUGUGCUUUCCCUAAGAGCCUGACGUCUCCUCUCCUCUUUCCUAGUAAGAUGGCGUUUAAUCCUGAAUUCUAAGAGUUACUCAUUUUUCCCUGGGUGUCACCCAUGUUUGUUUUUCUUGUUAAUCUGUCUUUUAUUAUAGGAGUGUCAGUUAAGAACUCAGAAAUGAAAAGGGAAAAUUAUUUUUCUUCCCCUACAGUGAAAUAAUGGGGAAGAUGUGGAAUGUGAAACCACUUUUACUGCUCCAAUGGAAUCCUAGAUUUGUAUAAACAUUCUUUCAUAUAUUAUUUAAAUUAAAAUUAUCGAAGUCAUCCAAAAGUCUCUGAAGUAUUUCUGUGAGUUCACUCUCCCAACAAUGAGCUAUAACUGAAAAAUGAUGCCAUUCCUGGAAUUCAGAAAAAUAUGAUCUUCAUGAAUCAUUGGAAGUUUCCAGUGGCAAUAGAAAUUCUGAACCGAAGACACAUAACUUAGAACAUCUGUCAGUGAAUGAUGACUUCCCUCACAACUAUGCAGCAGCAUCCAUGAUCAAUUGUGCAUGAGCUGAGUCAAGGUGGAGCUCAGCCAAGACCUUCACCCCACAAGAACAGUGAGGGUGGGACCGACUGCUGACACUGCGCUGAGGCACAGCCAAAGUGCGUGAAUCACAAUGAGGCUGCAGUCACCGCAGUCACAAUUAGUCAGCAGUGGAGUGGUGCAGCCUUCUGGAAAUCUGCAACUGGCUUGAAAGCAAUAGUGCAAGGAGAUAUGUGAACUCUUCAUCCCUUUUGUUUCUUAAGAAAAAGGAUAAAUUUGUAAAAUGUAAAGGGCCCACAAAACGUAGUAGAAAAGAAAUUGACUUUAGAGUCAUCUGACCUGGGAUUAUAUUAAAGGUCUACAUCUUACUGAGAAAUUACCUAGCCUCUCUGAACCUCAUUUUACCCUCCUGCUACCUAGUCUUUAGUUGUUGCGAAGAAUAGACAUAAUUUACUUAUGUAAGGACCCAUUGGGCCAUCAAUAACUGUGUGUACUGGGGAAGCAAACUGGAGAUGGAAUAAUAGAUUCUUUUGUCAUCAAUCUCUUUGUUCACCUGACAAUAUCUUGUUGGAAGUCUCCUGGUUCUUUGCAUGCCUUAAAGACAGCAUUCUAGUUACUAGAAUAAAUUCACUAGUUCUUAGGAGGUUUCUAUGCUCCAGUUGUGACUAUGUGUGAGAACUUCUCUGUAGGAGGUAUCCUAUGUCUUCACAAAGACUCUGUAGGCAGCUUUCUCUACGUAGACAUUUAAAUCUUGUAUGUAGUAUAACCAAUCAGUUUGGUAAAGGACCUU